AGAGUUUGAUCAUGGCUCAGAUUGAACGCUGGCGGCAGGCCUAACACAUGCAAGUCGAACGGUAACAGGAAACAGCUUGCUGUUUCGCUGACGAGUGGCGGACGGGUGAGUAAUGUCUGGGAAACUGCCUGAUGGAGGGGGAUAACUACUGGAAACGGUAGCUAAUACCGCAUAACGUCGCAAGACCAAAGAGGGGGACCUUCGGGCCUCUUGCCAUCGGAUGUGCCCAGAUGGGAUUAGCUAGUAGGUGGGGUAAAGGCUCACCUAGGCGACGAUCCCUAGCUGGUCUGAGAGGAUGACCAGCCACACUGGAACUGAGACACGGUCCAGACUCCUACGGGAGGCAGCAGUGAGGAAUAUUGGUCAAUGGGCGCGAGCCUGAACCAGCCAAGUAGCGUGCAGGACGACGGCCCUAUGGGUUGUAAACUGCUUUUGCGCGGGGAUAACUUCCGCCACGUGUGGCGGCUUGCAGGUACCGCGUGAAUAAGGACCGGCUAAUUCCGUGCCAGCAGCCGCGGUAAUACGGAAGGUCCGGGCGUUAUCCGGAUUCAUUGGGUUUAAAGGGAGCGUAGGCCGCGCGUCAAGCGUGCCGUGAAAUGCCGUGGCUCAACCAUGGCACCGCGGCGCGAACUGUCGCGCUUGAGUGGGCUCGAGGCAGGCGGAAUUCGUGGUGUAGCGGUGAAAUGCUUAGAUAUCACGAGGAACCCCGAUUGCGAAGGCAGCCUGCCAGCGCCGCACUGACGCUGAAGCUCGAAGGCGUGGGUAUCGAACAGGAUUAGAUACCCUGGUAGUCCACGCGGUAAACGAUGGACGCUCGCCGUGGGUCCUAUAUGGUUCCGUGGCCAAGCGAAAGCGUUAAGCGUCCCACCUGGGGAGUACGCCGGCAACGGUGAAACUCAAAGGAAUUGACGGGGGCCCG
rnacentral:rRNA from 1 species